GUGGACACGCCCCCUCCAUUACUCAGCACACGCUUCGAAACCUCGGCACAUCAGGUCACAUCACUAGUCGGCACGUCUGGUAGCAUCUCUGGCUGCUGUUGACCUUGUUUUUGGAGUAAAACACGGUGGAAGCUGAAUUAGUGAGGAUGACUCCUGCUCCUGUCAUCUCUAAGCUCCUCACACAUCUUUACCUGCACAUGAGGAAAAUCACUCCUGUAGAAUGCAGAUGUUCAGAGGGAGAUGAUGCCACAUCUGGUCCAGCUGAUGGAAGGUCUUGAAGUUCUCUGACUGGCCUCGACUGAAGAUGGUCGUCUCACUGGAUUUAAGGUUCAGAUACUCAGUAACAAACUCCACCAAUGUGCCAACAGGGAAGCUUUAGGUUUAUUAAAUGUUGCUAUGAAGGUAUCACUGUUUUUCUUUGUGAAUGCAAUGUGCUCCAACUGAAACUUGAAUUACAACUUAAAAGUAAAUCCUUCCAUCUGAAAGGAUUUAGUUGCAUUAAUAACCUCAUAACAUUCUAAUUUUUAUUCCAGUCUUGGUUGGAAAUAGAAUCUCUGUAUUGAUUCAGGUAAAAACUGAACUUCACAGCAUGUUGGAGCAAAACAACCAGAUGAAAACUGUGAUGGUGUUGGAUUAUCAGACCGUAAUGUUGCAGCUCAAAGCAGCUUUUCUAGCUCAGUUCAUUCUGACAUUCAGCUAUGAAUCAACACAGCAGAUGGUGAUCCAUGCUGUGGAAGUCUCACAUCUCCUCAUUUAAUGGAGCUGCUUUGCACUUUUUACACUGUUUAUUCACCAACACUUUAUUUAAUAAAAGUCCCAUCUAGUUUUUAUGAGGAAUGUGAUGUUUUAAUUUCUCUGUGAAUAACUGCAGUCUAAUGCAACAGCUGGAGUUGUAACAUCUGUCCUGAUGUUGAUCAUGAAGUAUUGAUCAGAAUACUUAUGGUCAGCAGUCAUCCCUGAAGUUUUACAUUAAAAUCUUUACUUGUGUCGUGAACUUUGGUAAGAAGCAGAAACUUUAGCGUUGCCAUGGAUACUUGAGUGUUAAAUUCUGUCCAUGUUUCCAUUUUGGGAAAUGCAGUCCAGUUCCAGAAUGUGGAGGAAUUUAGUCUCACAGUCACAGACAACAAAUAUUAUCUGAAAGUCAGGUUAUUGUUGUUUAUCAGCACAGUACAAAAAGAUUAAUGUUAGAAAUAUUCCAGUUAAGACUCUAGAAUAUCAUGAUUUAUGUAAAUUUACCUCGAUAAUAUAAAUGUUCAGGUUAAGAUUGUACAGUGAUAUUUAUUAUGUAAGUUUAUCUGAUUAAAGUUUAUGACUCUGCACUAAAAUAUUAUUUAAAUUGACAUCAUUAUUAUAAUAUUUAGGGUCAGACCCUACAGUAUUGAGAUUAAGAAAUCAAAUAUUCUAUAAAAGGUCCAAGAGUCUCACCCAACAAACAACCUACAGAGUGAAGACCUCGAAUCUGAUUGGACGGCCUCCUAUUCAGCCACAUGUGUGAACAAAUGCCUCUAAGCUGA